rnacentral:ncRNA from 1 species
GAGCGCCGUGUGCGGUGAAAGUCGCAUGCACGGUGCGAAACGGGGGAAAAUCCGGCCUGACUGCGGCGGCAACUGUCGAGGUAAAAGCGUCGGAUUACCUAUCGUUAU